CCCUUAGAUGUUCUGGGCUGCACGCGCGCUACACUGGCAUGCUCAGCAAGUUUCCUUGCCUGAAAGGGUUGGGUAAUCUUGUUAGUGUAUGUCGUGAUGGGGAUAGAAUAUUGUAAUUAUUGCUCUUUAACGAGGAAUUCCUAGUAAGCGCAAGUCAUCAGCUUGCGUUGAUUACGUCCCUGCCCUUUGUACACACCGCCCGUCGCUCCUACCGAUUGGGUGAUCCAGUGAAUGAUUCGGACUCUGGCUAUGCUAGCUACUAGCUACGUCAGGGAAAGUUUUGUGAACCUUAUCACUUGGAGGAAGGAGAAGUCGUAACA
rnacentral:rRNA from 1 species